CAGCAGCCGCGGGAAUACGAAGGGUGCAAGCGUUACUCGGAAUUACUGGGCGUAAAGCGUGCGUAGGUGGUGGUUUAAGUCCGUUGUGAAAGCCCUGGGCUCAACCUGGGAAUUGCAGUGGAUACUGGGUCACUAGAGUGUGGUAGAGGAUAGUGGAAUUUCCGGUGUAGCAGUGAAAUGCGUAGAGAUCGGAAGGAACAUCUGUGGCGAAGGCGACUAUCUGGGCCAUUACUGACACUGAGGCACGAAAGCGUGGGGAGCAAACAGGAUUAGAUACCCCAGUAGUCCCUGUCUCUUAUAC
rnacentral:rRNA from 1 species